rnacentral:rRNA from 1 species
UACGUAGGGUGCAAGCGUUAAUCGGAAUUACUGGGCGUAAAGCGUGCGCAGGCGGCUAUGCAAGACAGAUGUGAAAUCCCCGGGCUCAACCUGGGACCUGCAUUUGUGACUGCAUUGCUGGAGUGCGGCAGAGGGGGAUGGAAUUCCGCGUGUAGCAGUGAAAUGCGUAGAUAUGCGGAGGAACACCGAUGGCGAAGGCAAUCCCCUGGGCCUGCACUGACGCUCAUGCACGAAAGCGUGGGGAGCAAACAGG